rnacentral:tRNA from 2 species
GUGUUUAUAGUUUAACGGUUAGAAUAAUUGAUUGUGGUUCAAUAGAUAUGGUUUCGAUUACCAUUAAACACCCA